GUGUAUAUAUAGGGCUCAUUGUAUCAUGUUUAAUCUCAGUUAUAUUUUUCUCCCGUGCUUUCUCACAUGGUAUCAGGCCUUUGGUGAGAUAAUUAUCGUUGUGCGUCAUUCCAACGACAUCCGGGAAGAAAUAACUCAGUCACCGUGCAAUUUUCCGGUGACCGAAGUGACUAAUUGCGUAAAAGUCACUAAUUAUCAGUGUUGUGCAAAAACCAACACCACCGCAAGGUUCCCAAGAGAGAUCCGACCAAACCCCAGCAAACCCACAAGAAAACUGCCACUCACGCGCCAGAUGUAUCAAGGUAGAUCCGAGUCACGCGCCCCAUGCACCGGCGCGUGAGCCCUGUUCCGGUGAGAUUCUGACGAACGUCCUUCAGGGCAGUUAGAUCGCCCUCAAAUUCCGAGCCUACCCAUAUUUUUACUUUUCAAUUCCGACCACUUUGAAGUUUUUCCGGCAUCUGCAGUGAUUUUUUCCGGCAUCUACAGUAAUUUUCCGGCAAAAAAAGUAUUUCCUUCAUCUGUUUCAGCAAGUUUU
rnacentral:lncRNA from 1 species